rnacentral:lncRNA from 1 species
AGCCCGGCCGGCUCCCCGGCCGCGAUCCGGAGCGAUGGGGAGCGCCUGGAAAACCCUCGGCUCCACUUUUCCCCGCAGCGGUCUCGCGUGGGCGCAGCCUUCCAGCCAAAACCAAAACACCACCAGCGAUGCGAUUUNGGGGGGGAGUUAAAUUAGGGAAAAGUAGAGGGGAAAGAGGGAAAGGAGGAAGGCUGGCUCGACCCUCCCACCCCACGCGUGUCUGCACCCCCUACAGCCGUGACCGAGAGGGCUUAAAGGAGAGGGGUGGGCAUUAUCCACUGCAGCCCCGUUAGUGCUGCCCAAAGUGGGAGCAGACCCCAAGCAGCACCCACAAAAUUCCCCCUCCCCGGUGGUUUUUUAUCGCUCUCCCCCGUUUUUCCCGUGUGGGGAAGCGGGAGGAGCUGGAAGCACAGUGGGGUGAGCCGCUGGGGACUGGGAAUGCCGUCGGUCUGGAUGGGGAGGGAUGUCCCAGAGCGGUGGGAAAUGUUGGGGGAAAGGGGUGCUUUACUUCAUGUCGGGUUGGUUUCGCACUUGGGGAAAUUUGGGGGAUUUUGGGGUGGGUUUGGGCCUUGGGAUGCCAUUGGGGCCUUGCGGGUGGCAAUGGCAAUGGCAAGACCCCAAAACCCGCUUGUGGAAAGGGGUCAGGGUGAAACCCCUUCCCCAAGGAGGGUCCGGGAAAGGGGGGGAGAUGAGUUGAGGUGAUGUUUUCUCUGGAAAUCAUGGAAGCAGCCUCUGGGAACAGCCCGGUCUGGUGGAAGGUGUCCCUGCCCACGGCAGGAGGGUCAGGACUGGAUGGGCCUUAAGGUCUUUUCCAACCCAACCCAUCCUGGAGCUGUAGGAUUCCAUGAACACCACCUCAGGGCAGGAGAAGGGCUGGAUGGAGCACGGAGCGGGGAAUUACGGCCGGAGACAGAACUCUUGGGACUGCUUUAGGUUUCAGCAGCAGAUUCCCCCGGCUGAACCCCUCGGCUGGGCUGAAUUUAGCAGCAGAAGAGAUAACCAGCAGAUAAGGACUGAUACCCUGGGAGGACAGCGGCAGACAAUGGGCGGCCGGGCAAGGGGAGAGAAGCCGGAGGCAGCGUUGGGAAGGGGAUUCCCUAAAGAGGAGCAGGACUCACGGGAGGGGAACAAGGAGCGAGUUCCCCUCUUGCCCUGCAAAUAGUAGUGGUGAUAAUAAUAAUAAAAAAAAAAAAAAUCAACCA